AAUCCUAUAGGAUCCUAUAGGAAUUCCUAUAGGAAAUGCCAUUUCCUAUAGGAAUUCCUAUAGGAUCCUAUAGGAAUA